rnacentral:rRNA from 1 species
AUUGAACGCUGGCGGCAUGCCUUACACAUGCAAGUCGAACGGUAACAGGUCUUCGGAUGCUGACGAGUGGCGAACGGGUGAGUAAUACAUCGGAACGUGCCUAGUAGUGGGGGAUAACUACUCGAAAGAGUGGCUAAUACCGCAUGAGAUCUACGGAUGAAAGCAGGGGAUCGCAAGACCUUGUGCUACUAGAGCGGCCGAUGGCAGAUUAGGUAGUUGGUGGGAUAAAAGCUUACCAAGCCGACGAUCUGUAGCUGGUCUGAGAGGACGAUCAGACACACUGGGACUGAGACACGGCCCAGACUCCUACGGGAGGCAGAAGUGGGGAAUUUUGGCCAAUGGGCGCAAGCCUGAUCUAGCAAUGCCGCGUGCAGGAUGAAGGCCUUCGGGUUGUAAACUGCUUUUGUACGGAACGAAAAGCCCCGGGUUAAUACCCUGGGGUCAUGACGGUACCGUAAGAAUAAGCACCGGCUAACUACGUGCCAGCAGCCGCCGUAA